GUCGGGCAUGGUGGUACACACCUGUAAUCCCAGCAGCUUGGAGGCUGAGGCAGGAGGAUCACAGGUUCAAAGCCAGGCUCAGCAAUUUAGCAAGGCUUUAAGGCUGUAAGCAACCUUGUGAGACCUUGUCUCAA
rnacentral:sRNA from 1 species